ACCUGGGGUAGCUCAGUCGGUACAGCAUGGGACUCUGAACCCCAGGGUCAAGGGUUCGAACCUCAUGUUUGGCA